rnacentral:rRNA from 1 species
AGCGAACGCUGGCGGCAGGCCUAACACAUGCAAGUCGAACGAAGUCUUCGGACUUAGUGGCGGACGGGUGAGUAACCCGUGGGAACGUGCCUUUAGGUUCGGAAUAACUCAGGGAAACUUGUGCUAAUACCGAAUGUGCCCUUCGGGGGCAAGAUUUAUCGCCUUUAGAGCGGCCCGCGUCUGAUUAGCUAGUUGGUGAGGUAAAGGCUCACCAAGGCGACGAUCAGUAGAUGGUCUGAGAGGAUGAUCAGCCACAUUGGGACUGAGACACGGCCCAAACACCUACGGGAGGCAGCAGUGGAGAGUCUUGCGCAAUGGGCGAAAGCCUGACGCAGCCAUGCCGCGUGAAUGAUGAAGGUCUUAGGAUUGUAAAAUUCUUUCACCGGGGACGAUAAUGACGGUACCCGGAGAAGAAGCCCCGGCUAACUUCGUGCCAGCCGCCGCCGUAACAC